GUCCAAUCCACAGAGAGAGUGGGGUCUCAUCUCUGCCAGUCCACUACACAGAGAGAGUGGGGUCUCAUCGCCACCUUAUACAACCAAAAGGAAUGUCCAGUGCCCGAAGUGCUGCUGCUCUGUUCUGUAUAUAAUAGUGUGUGUUUAUAUUAGAAUGUAAAUUAAGAGAUCAUAUAGUUCGGAUCAUUAUACAAGGCAACCAAUCGUUCCAGGCUGCCUUUGUAGAUAUUGACUGGCCUGAUUUAUAAAUAAAUGUCAAAUGAAUAAAUGUAUGAAAGCCAGAGUUCAAAGGAAAGAUGUUUGUCUCUCGGUGUUUCACGAUGUGUUUUAUUAAAUGUUGCUUUGUUACCGUACCUCUUGGUUCUUUUACUGAACUGGUUGCAGUGACUCUUGUCAUUUUACACCGAAAUACAUCGUUGCAUUUUGUUUUUGUUUCCCCCCAGAAUGUUUUCCAUGUGCUUCUGGACUCGCAUUGAUGAUAACGUUGUGUUGUGACGUGAUAAUAUCUCACUAUCGGCUGAAUCUGAUAGAGACGAAGACCACAUAUCUCAACAGAGGAACUGCUUUAGUUCCAGAAUGUUCCGGGAAGACCACAUAUCUCAACAGAGGAACUGCUUUAGUUCCAGAAUGUUCCGGUAAGACCACAUAUCUCAACAGAGGAACUGCUUUAGUUCCAGAAUGUUCCGGUAAGACCACAUAUCUCAACAGAGGAACUGCUUUAGUUCCAGAAUGUUCCGGGAAGACCACAUAUCUCAACAGAGGAACUGCUUUAGUUCCAGAAUGUUCCGGUAAGACCACAUAUCUUAACAGAGGAACUGCUUUAGUUCCAGAAUGUUCCGGGAAGACCACAUAUCUCAACAGAGGAACUGCUUUAGUUCCAGAAUGUUCCGGUAAGACCACAUAUCUCAACAGAGGAACUGCUUUAGUUCCAGAAUGUUAUGGUAAGACCACAUAUCUCAACAGAGGAACUGCUUUAGUUCCAGAAUGUUCCGGUAAGACCACAUAUCUCAACAGAGGAACUGCUUUAGUUCCAGAAUGUUCCGGUAAGACCACAUAUCUCAACAGAGGAACUGCUUUAGUUCCAGAAUGUUCCGGUAAAACCACAUAUCUCAACAGAGGAACUGCUUUAGUUCCAGAAUGUUCCGGUAAAAGUCAUGCUGUCUGUCUCUACGACAAACCAGAAUGUUCCACUAAAAGUCAUGCUGUCUGUCUCUACGACAUACCAGAAUGUUCCACUAAAAGUUAUGCUGUCUGUCUCUACGACAUACCAGAAUGUUCCACUAAAAGUUAUGUCUCUACGACAAACCAGAAUGUUCCACUAAAAGUUAUGUCUCUACGACAAACCAGAAUGUUCCACUAA
rnacentral:lncRNA from 1 species